rnacentral:rRNA from 1 species
GGGUGCGAUCAUACCAGCACUAAUGCACCGGAUCCCAUCAGAACUCCGCAGUUAAGCGUGCUUGGUCGAGAGUAGUACUGGGAUGGGUGACCUCCUGGGAAGUCCUCGUGUUGCACCCC